UACGUAGGGGGCAAGCGUUGUCCGGAAUCAUUGGGUGUAAAGAGCGUGUAGGCGGCCAGAUAAGUCCGCUGUGAAAUCUCGAGGCUCAACUUCGAGCUGUCGGUGGAAACUGUCUGGCUAGAGUCCGGAAGAGGAGAAUGGAAUUCCUGGUGUAGCGGUGAAAUGCGCAGAUAUCAGGAAGAACACCCGUGGCGAAGGCGGUUCUCUGGGACGGUACUGACGCUGAGGAGCGAAAGCGUGGGGAGCGAACAGG
rnacentral:rRNA from 1 species